rnacentral:rRNA from 1 species
AACGAACGCUGGCGGCAUGCCUAACACAUGCAAGUCGAACGAGACCUUCGGGUCUAGUGGCGCACGGGUGCGUAACGCGUGGGAACCUGCCCUUAGGUUCGGAAUAACUCCCCGAAAGGGGUGCUAAUACCGGAUAAUGUCUUCGGACCAAAGAUUUAUCGCCUUUGGAUGGGCCCGCGUUGGAUUAGCUAGUUGGUAGGGUAAAAGCCUACCAAGGCGACGAUCCAUAGCUGGUCUGAGAGGAUGAUCAGCCACACUGGGACUGAGACACGGCCCAGACUCCUACGGGAGGCAGCAGUGGGGAAUACUGGACAAUGGGCGAAAGCCUGAUCCAGCAAUGCCGGGUGAGUGAUGAAGGCCGUAGGGUUGUAAAGCUCUUUUAGCCGGGAUGAUAAUGACAGUACCGGGAGAAUAAGCGCCGGCUAACUCCGUG